UUUUAGGCAUGCAAGUGGAACGAGACUAAUUGAGAGCUUGCUUUUGAUUAGUUUUAGUCGCGAACGGCUGAGUAAUACGUAGGAAUCUACCCUUUGGUGGGGAAUACCUCGUCGAAAGACGAGCUAAUACCGCAUAAUACCGCAAGGUCAAAGAUGCAAAUCGCCGAAGGAGGAGCCUGCGGCUCAUCAGCUAGUUGGUGGGGUAAAAGCCUACCAAGGCUACGACGAGUAGGGGACGUGAGAGCGUGACCCCCCAGAAUGGUACUGAGACACGGACCAUACACCUACGGGUGGCAGCAACCGGGAAAUCGUGCGCAAUGGACGAAAGUCUGACGCUGCGACGCCGCGUGAAUGAUGAAGGCCUUAGGGUCGUAAAGUUCUUUUGCCAAAUGGGUGACUAUUUGGAGAAAUAAGCACCGGCUAACUCUGUGCCAGCAGCAGCGGUAAUACAGAGGGUGCAAGCGUUUGUCCGGAUUUACUGGGCGUAAAGCGUUUCGUAGGCGGGCUUUUUUAAGUUGCUCUUCAAAGAUCAAGGCUCAACCUUGGGAAGGGGAGCAAUACUGGAAGGCUUGAAGAAUGUUGGGGUUUUCGGAACUUGCGGUGUGUAGGGGUGAAAAUCCGUUGAUAUCGCAAGGAAACACUAAGGGCGAAGGCAGAAAAACUAGGCAUUUUCUUGACGCUGAGGAACGACAGCUAGGGGAGCGAAAUGGAUUAGAGACCCAUGUAGUCCUAGCCGUAAACGAUGCUCGCUAGGGAUGGGGAGGUUAAAACUCUCCGUUCCGUAAGCUAACGCGUUAAGCGAGCCGCCUGGGGAGUACGAUCGCAAAGAUUAAAACUCAAAGGAAUUGACGGGGACCCGCACAACCAGUGGAUUAUGUGGUUUAUAAUUCGAGACGAAACGAAGAACCUUACCUGGGUUUGACAUGCUAGAUGCAAUCCGCCAGAGAUGGUGGACUUCUUUGAGAGUUCUAGCACAGGUGUUGCAUGGCUGUCGUCAGCUCGUGCCAUGAGGUGUUCCCUUAAGUGGGGGUAACGAGCGCAACCCGCGUCGUAUGUUAUAUUGUUCAUACGAGACUGCUUGAGUCAUACUCAAGAGGAAGGCGCGGAUGAUGUCAAGUCAGCAUGGCCUUUAUGUCCAGGGCGACGCACAUAAUACAAUGAAGCCGACAAUGGGUUGCCAACCGGUAACGGGGAGCUAAUCCCAUCAAACGGCUUCUCAGUGGGGAUUGAGGGCUGCAACUCGCCCUCAUGAACGUGGAAUUGGUAGUAAUCGCAAAUCAGCCAAGUUGCGGUGAAUACGUUCUCGGGUCUUGUACACACCGCCCGUCAAGUCAGAGGAGUUGGGGGUACCCGAAGGCCAUCUGUGAUGGACGAAGGUAAAACCAGCAACUAGGAUU
rnacentral:rRNA from 1 species